rnacentral:rRNA from 1 species
UACGGAGGAUGCAAGCGUUAUCCGGAUUUAUUGGGUUUAAAGGGUGUGUAGGCGGGACAAUAAGUCAGCGGUGAAAUCUCUCGGCUUAACCGGGAAACUGCCAUUGAUACUGUUGUCCUUGAGUACAGUUGAGGUGGGCGGAAUGUGUAAUGUAGCGGUGAAAUGCUUAGAUAUUACACAGAACGCCAAUUGCGAAGGCAGCUCACUAAACUGUUACUGACGCUGAGGCACGAAAGCGUGGGGAGCGAACAGGAUUAGAUACCCGCGUA